CUUAGCUUGCUAAGACGAUGGCGACCGGCGCACGGGUGAGUAACACGUAUCCACCUGCCGUCUACUCUUGGACAGCCUUCUGAAAGGAAGAUUAAUACAAGAUGGCUCCGCAUGUUUAAAGGUAUUCGGUAGACGAUGGGGAUGCGUUCCAUUAGAUAGUAGGCGGGGUAACGGCCCACCUAGUCUUCGAUGGAUAGGGGUUCUGAGAGGAAGGUCCCCCACAUUGGAACUGAGACACGGUCCAAACUCUACGGGAGGCAGCAGUGAGGAAUAUUGGUCAAUGGGCGAGAGCCUGAACCAGCCAAGUAGCGUGAAGGAUGACUGCCUAUGGGUUGUAAACUUCUUUUAUAAAGGAAUAAGUCGGGUAUGUAUACCCGUUUGCAUGUACUUUAUGAAUAAGGAUCGGCUAACUCCGUGCCAGCAGCCGCGGUAAUACGGAGGAUCCGAGCGUUAUCCGGAUUUAUUGGGUUUAAAGGGAACGUAGAUGGAUGUUUAAGUCAGUUGUGAAAGUUUGCGGCUCAACCGUAAAAUUGCAGUUGAUACUGGAUAUCUUGAGUGCAGUUGAGGCAGGCGGAAUUCGUGGUGUAGCGGUGAAAUGC
rnacentral:rRNA from 1 species